GAUGAACGCUGGCGGCGUGCUUAAUACAUGCAAGUCGAGCGAAUGGAUGAGAGCUUGCUCUCAGAAGUUAGCGGCGGACGGGUGAGUAACACGUGGGUAACCUGCCCUUAAGACUGGGAUAACAUCGAGAAAUCGGUGCUAAUACCGGAUAAUUUAUUUGACCGCAUGGUCGAAUAAUGAAAGGUGGCGUAAGCUACCACUUAUGGAUGGACCCGCGGCGUAUUAGCUAGUUGGUGAGGUAAUGGCUCACCAAGGCAACGAUACGUAGCCGACCUGAGAGGGUGAUCGGCCACACUGGGACUGAGACACGGCCCAGACUCCUACGGGAGGCAGCAGUAGGGAAUCUUCCGCAAUGGACGAAAGUCUGACGGAGCAACGCCGCGUGAGUGAUGAAGGCUUUCGGGUCGUAAAACUCUGUUGUUAGGGAAGAACAAGUACCGUUCGAAUAGGGCGGUACCUUGACGGUACCUAACCAGAAAGCCACGGCUAACUACGUGCCAGCAGCCGCGGUAA
rnacentral:rRNA from 1 species